GACGAACGCUGGCGGCGUGCCUAAUACAUGCAAGUUGAGCGCUGAAGGUUGGUACUUGUACCGACUGGAUGAGCAGCGAACGGGUGAGUAACGCGUGGGGAAUCUGCCUUUGAGCGGGGGACAACAUUUGGAAACGAAUGCUAAUACCGCAUAAAAACUUUAAACACAAGUUUUAAGUUUGAAAGAUGCAAUUGCAUCACUCAAAGAUGAUCCCGCGUUGUAUUAGCUAGUUGGUGAGGUAAAGGCCCAACAAGGCGAUGAUACAUAGCCGACCUGAGAGGGUGGUCGGCCACAUUUGGACUGAGACAAGGCCCAAACUCCUACGGGAAGCAGCAGUAGGGAAUCUUCGGCAAUGGACGAAAGUCUGACCGAGCAACGCCGCGUGAGGGAAGAAGGUUUUCGGAUCGUAAAACUCUGUUGGUAGAGAAGAACGUUGGUGAGAGUGGAAAGCUCAUCAAGUGACGGUAACUACCCAGAAAGGGACGGCUAACUACGUG
rnacentral:rRNA from 1 species